UACGUAGGGCGCAAGCGUUGUCCGGAAUUAUUGGGCGUAAAGAGCUUGUAGGCGGUUUGUCGCGUCUGCCGUGAAAAUCCGAGGCUCAACCUCGGACUUGCGGUGGGUACGGGCAGACUAGAGUGUGGUAGGGGAGACUGGAAUUCCUGGUGUAGCGGUGAAAUGCGCAGAUAUCAGGAGGAACACCGAUGGCGAAGGCAGGUCUCUGGGCAUUAACUGACGCUGAGGAGCGAAAGCAUGGGGAGCGAACAGG
rnacentral:rRNA from 1 species